GCCCGAGUGGCGGAAUGGUAGACGCAGGGGAUUCAAAAUCCCCCGCCUUCACGGGCGUGUGAGUUCGAGUCUCACCUUGGGCACCA
rnacentral:tRNA from 4 species